GAUUAGUUGAGGGGCUAAACUAUAAUGUUGACGUAAAACCCCCAUCCUUCGAUCAGCGGUUGUCGGUCGAAGCGCGAGAGGGAAGAUGGUUCGGCCAGAUGGAGUCAAAGAGUGAAAGCUCAAGAGAAGGGCGGAAGAAUCUGCCCCGAUGGUGGAGGAGGAGGAGGAGGUUGAGGUCUUCGACGAGGGAGUACGCGAUGGGGUUGAAGAAGGGAUCGGAAACUUAGGGGAGAUUGCGGAGCCCGAGGACGAGAGGAGGGCGGAGGAGGGGGUGGACGAGAUGCCGGGGAUCCGGGUCACCUCGCCAGUCGACAGAGCGAAGCGGCCGGGAGUCAUAUUCGUUCUCGAGAAGGCGUGUUUGGAGGUUGGCAAAGUCGGGAAGAAUUUUCAGAUCCUGAACUCAGAUGACCAUGCAAAUUAUCUAAGGAAGCAAAAUCGAAAUCCUGCCGAUUAUAGGCCUGACAUCAUUCAUCAGAUUCGGAGUUGGAAAGCACUACCAUGUAAUUUUCUAACACAUAAUCAUUCUUCACCAGACGUGCUCCUUCGAUUGCUCCAUGAAGCUGUCUAUGUGAAAACAGAGAAGGGAGUUCUUUUUGAAAUCAAACCAUAUGUCCGCAUCCCAAGUACUUUCAAGCGUUUCUGCGGUCUUAUGUCCCAAUCGUUACAAAAAUCAAGUAUAAUUGCUGUCGGGAAGCCGGAGAAACUUGUGUGUCAUAAAGAAUUCUGUGACUCGCCAUUUGCCUGUCAAUUCCAAGAAAUUAGGUUGGUGCGAUGGCUCAUUGAGCGAUUGAUAAGGAAUACACUGAUGAUUUUCUAUCGAUUUCAGAAUACCCUCUGAGUGCGGCAUGCUGCUUCAACAGGAUCGCCUUUUUUCCCAUAUAAUAUCCGGAUGAGUGACUUGGUUCUUUUUGUCCAAGUGAUUAAGCUGGUCAUCGUUAAAGCAAUCAUCUAUGCAUGUAUGCCUUGGAAGAUGGUGUUGUCUUCAUCAAGGAGGAGUCCAACGUGGAUGGCGCCCAUGCAUGUGACUAAGAAACACAUCGCUUACGUGACUGUACCAAGGUGCCACCUUGCGUCUGAUUCUGAACAGUCGGUCCUUUUUUGAACAGUAAGAAGAAGAGAUGCCUUCCGAGAAACCCGAUGACACAAUUAUACAAAGCUUUUACCAUGGCAUCUUGUUUUCCCGGGAGAUAUAAUCUUUGCGAUGUAACUAUGAUUAGUAACUCGUGGUUAGUAUGAAAUUUUGACAUGGAUGCGAAUGAUAGAAACUCACAUGGGGAUGA